CUACUCGGUUGAGUUUCCUGCCUUUAUUUUCUAAUCUAGGUUGAUGGAUCACAAGAUAUUUUCCAUAGCGCUUCCCUUCAUUUUGUUGAUUAAGAUCAUGAGUAGGCAGAUGUAGGCUCCCUGUGGAGAUCUCAAUAGACCGGUAUGUUUUUGUCAAGAAAGCAAAGUUUGCAGAGAACAAGAUUACCUGACUGGCAAACUGACUCCAUUUAUUGCAGGCUCUGCCAAAAGCCACUUUGAAUAAACUCCAGAGCAUAAUUGAGUUUAAGUGGCUUCAAAGAUUCUGCCUAAUGGAACCCUCAGAAGUGGGCACAGACAGGCAGAGUCGCAGCAGAAAGGCUGAGGAGCAAAGGCGUCUCCUCAGACAGUGCACAUAAAACGGGAGGAGAAACGGCGAAGCGGAUUGAUUGGACAUUUAAAAAAAAUAUGCCCUAAUGCUCAAACUUACUGGUAAACAGAAUGGCCGUCUCAUGUUCCUGCAGUCAUACCUCCUAUACGGCUAGAGACCGAAUCCUCCUUCAACUGUGGGCUCCAAGAAACCCUUGCUCCUGCAAGUUGCAUUUGUCAGAUACCCGGCUGCGCCAACAGAAAGGUGUCUAUUUCUGUGUGUUCUUGUUUGAGUUUGUGGUACUGGCAGCUGCAAAUCAGGUCCACUACAACCAAACUGCAUCCUCGGCCCCUCAAGCCAGCAUUUAUGGAAGAAAGCUCCAUUCGUUUGUUCGAAAAGGACCGGAGAAUUUUGUUUUUAGUUAAUAUUCAGUUCCUUUGAUUAAUUGCUAAAUGUCUUGGACAUCAAAAUGGGUAAAUAUAGUAAAAUGCUAUGUUUUAAGGAUCUCUUUUGGUAACAACUUUGCUAUGAUAUAAUUCAACGGUAACACAAGUCAGUGGCUUCUAAUAUACUCACAGACUCGCGUAACUACCACCACUUAUUAAUCUUAGAAUAUUUUAAUUAUCUCCUAAAGGAACCUUGUGUCUUUAAAUGUCACCCUAUCGCCCCACCCAUCUUCCCCACCCCCUUUGCCCCAGACUACCCUAAUCUACUCUCUCUAUAUUUGUUGACUACUGACAUUUCAGACAAACAGGAUAAAACUGUAGUUGGUCCUUUGGGACCGGCUUUCACUUAGCA